CCGUAGGUGUUGAUCACAGACAAUGGUCACCAAUUCUCUAUUUUCAAAUUGGUGAAAUUCUAUCAGAGCCUCGGUAUCUUCCAUCAUUUUACAUUAGUGGGGUAUCCGCGGGCCAAUCGAGAAGCUGAAGUGACUAAUCACAUACUUUUGUAGAAAUUGAAGGCCAGGUUAGAUCAAGCCAAAGGAUCCUAGGUGGACAAACACCAUAGUAUGCUCUGGGCCUAUUGAACCAUCCAAAGAAUACCUACUAGAGAAACUCCUUUCAAUCUUUCCUUCGGGAUAGAAGUGAUCAUCCUAGUAAAGGUUGCGUUGAGUUUUAACACCUCGAAAUUGACCCUC
rnacentral:lncRNA from 1 species